rnacentral:rRNA from 1 species
UGAGAGGUGGUGUCGAUGGCCGUCGUCAGUUCGUACUGUGAAGCAUCCUGUUAAGUCAGGCAACGAGCGAGACCCACGUCCACAGUUGCCAGCAUACCCUCCGGGGUGGAUGGGUACACUGUGGAGACCGCCGCUGCUAAAGCGGAGGAAGGAGUGGGCAACGGUAGGUCAGUAUGCCCCGAAUCUCCCGGGCUACACGCGGGCUACAAUGGUUGGUACAAUGGGCAUCUACCCCGAAAGGGGAAGGAAAUCUCUUAAAGCCAAUCGUAGUUCGGAUUGAGGGCUGCAACUCGCCCUCAUGAAGCUGGAAUCCGUAGUAAUCGCGUUUCAACAGAACGCGGUGAAUACGUCCCUGCUCCUU